CUUAUACCGUGAAACUGCGAAUGGCUCAUUAAAUCAGUUAUCGUUUAUUUGAUAGUACCUUUACCUGGAUAACCGUGGUAAUUCUAGAGCUAAUACAUGCUAAAAACCCCGACUUCGGGAGGGGUGUAUUUAUUAGAUAAAAAACCAAUGCCCUUCGGGGCUCCUUGGUGAUUCAUAAUAACUUAACGAAUCGCAUGGCCUUGCGCCGGCGAUGGUUCAUUCAAAUUUCUGCCCUAUCAACUUUCGAUUGUAGGAUAGAGGCCUACAAUGGUCUUAACGGGUAACGGGGAAUUAGGGUUCUAUUCCGGAGAGGGAGCCUGAGAAACGGCUACCACAUCCAAGGAAGGCAGCAGGCGCGCAAAUUACCCAAUCCCGAUACGGGGAGGUAGUGACAAUAAAUACUGAUACGGGGCUCUUUCGGGUCUCGUAAUUGGAAUGAGUACAAUCUAAAUCCCUUAACGAGGAACAAUUGGAGGGCAAGUCUGGUGCCAGCAGCCGCGGUAAUUCCAGCUCCAAUAGCGUAUAUUAAAGUUGUUGCCGUUAAAAAGCUCGUAGUUGAACCUUGGCCCUGGCUGAUCUGUCCUCCUAAUCGAGCGCACGGAUUCGGUCGGGGCUUUCCUUCUGGGGAGCCCCAUGCCCUUCACUGGGUGUGGCGGGGAACCAGGACUUUUACCUUGAAAAAAUUAGAGUGUUCAAAGCAGGCCUUUGCUCGAAUACAUUAGCAUGGAAUAAUAGAAUAGGACAUCGGUUCUAUUUUGUUGGUUUCUAGGACCGCUGUAAUGAUUAAUAGGGACAGUCGGGGGCGUCAGUAUUCAAUUGUCAGAGGUGAAAUUCUUGGAUUUAUUGAAGACUAACUACUGCGAAAGCAUUCGCCAAGGAUGUUUUCAUUAAUCAGUGAACGAAAGUUAGGGGAUCGAAGACGAUCAGAUACCGUCGUAGUCUUAACCAUAAACUAUGCCGACUAGGGAUCGGACGGUGGUUUUUUUAUGCCCCGUUCGGCACCUUACGAGAAAUCAAAGUU
rnacentral:rRNA from 1 species